AGCUUUUUAUUCAAAAAUGAUUUUAAAUUGCAAAUUUAAAGGUGGGGGUUAACCUUAAGGCUU
rnacentral:tRNA from 1 species